GGCAAGAAAAUAGCUCAGUCGGUAGAGCACGGGACUCCUGACCUCAGGGUCGUGUGGGUUCGAGCCCCCAUGCUGGUCA